GAUGAACGCUGGCGGCGUGCCUAAUACAUGCAAGUCGAGCGAACAGACGAGGAGCUUGCUCCUCUGACGUUAGCGGCGGACGGGUGAGUAACACGUGGAUAACCUACCUAUAAGACUGGGAUAACUUCGGGAAACCGGAGCUAAUACCGGAUAAUAUAUUGAACCGCAUGGUUCAAUAGUGAAAGACGGUUUUGCUGUCACUUAUAGAUGGAUCCGCGCCGCAUUAGCUAGUUGGUAAGGUAACGGCUUACCAAGGCAACGAUGCGUAGCCGACCUGAGAGGGGGAUCGGCCACACUGGAACUGAGACACGGUCCAGACUCCUACGGGAGGCAGAAGUAGGGAAUCUUCCGCAAUGGGCGAAAGCCUGACGGAGCAACGCCGCGUGAGUGAUGAAGGUCUUCGGAUCGUAAAACUCUGUUAUUAGGGAAGAACAAAUGUGAAAGUAACUAUGCACGUCUUGACGGUACCUAAUCAGAAAGCCACGGCUAACUACGU
rnacentral:rRNA from 1 species